CUUCCGGCGGGCCCCACCUCCUCUUUGCCCUCGCCGCGGGCGCGCGAUGGAUCCCGGUUGCUGGUUGUUCGGCGGCGAGUUCGAGGACUCGGUGUUCGAGGAGAGGCCGGAGCGGCGGUCAGGACCGCCGGCGUUCUACUGCGCCAAGCGCUGCGAGCCGCAGUGGUUUUAUGAAGAAACGGAAAGCAGUGAUGAUGUUGAAGUGCUGACUCUCAAGAAAUUCAAAGGAGACCUGGCCUACAGACGGCGAGAGUAUCAGAAAGCACUGCGCGAAUAUUCCAGUAUCUCUGAAAAAUUGUCAUCAACCAAUUUUGCCAUGAAAAGGGAUGUCCAGGAAGGCCAGGCUCGGUGUCUGGCUCACCUGGGUAGGCAUAUGGAAGCGCUGGAGAUUGCUGCAAAUUUGGAAAAUAAAGCAGCCAACACAGACCAUUUAACCACGGUACUCUACCUCCAGUUUGCUAUUUGUUCAAGUUUGCAGAACUUGGAGAAAACAAUUUUCUGCCUGCAAAAACUGAUUUCUUUGCAUCCUUUUAAUCCUUGGAACUGGGGCAAAUUGGCAGAAGCUUACCUGAAUCUGGGGCCAGCUCUUUCAGCAGCGCUUGCGUCAUCUCAGAAACAGCACAGUUUCACCUCAAGUGACAAAACGAUCAAAUCCUCCAUUCCACACUCGGGAAAAGACUAUCUUUUGUGUUUUCCUGAAACCUUGCCUGAGAGCUCUUUAUUUUCUAUGGAAGCAAGUAGCAGAGGUAGCCAGAAAAAUGAGAACGCUCUUGCAAAUAUCCAAAACUGUACAGCAGAAAAGAGAGAAGCAGUGCUGCUAGAGACUCAGCUGAAAGCGUGUGCCUCUUUUGUACGAACCAGGCUUCUGCUUCAGUUUACCCAACCUCAGCAAACAUCGUUUGCUUUGGAGAGGAACUUAAGGACUCAGCAGGAAAUUGAAGAUAAAAUGAAAGGGUUCAGCUUCACAGAAGACACUUUGCUGUUGAUAGCCGAGGAACUAAGGAGGAAAAAAGUGAAGGACAGAAAUACAAUCAUUAAUAAUAAUAAUAAAAGAAAUCAGAAACCAAGGUGCCCCUGACCAUGCUGGGAGCAGAGGAGAAAUGGCACAGAGGGAUGGAUGGGCAGACGGGACCGGGGAGGAUGCCACAGGCUGUUGGGGUCAGAGGCCACCAGGAGGAAGAGCGCUGUGCUCUCAGCCCUCCACAGAGCAGGCUGAUCUUCCCAGCUGAAAACCAAGGAGGGAGAAGACAUUGCUGAGAGAUUUUGCAGUUGGCUUCACCUGCCUUUGGAACAGCCUCUCCAGCUCCUGCUCCCUGGGGAAACAGCGCAUCCGAACCACCCCCUGGAGGCCUGCCUUUCACUCCCAGCAUAUCCCAGUGUUGCUGCUCGUAUUUCAUUGGUCACUGCUGUGUGUUUGCAGCAGAGGAAGUAAGAUAAGACACAACCAGUUGCCCCUUCUGCACUGUCACGUUCAUCACCUUCCUAAAUAAAAUGUUCCCAAAUGAC